rnacentral:rRNA from 1 species
UGGGGAAUAUUGGACAAUGGAGGGAACUCUGAUCCAGCAAUUCUGUGUGUGUGAAGAAGGUUUUAGGACUGUAAAACACUUUUAGUAGGGAAGAAAAAAAUGACGGUACCUACAGAAGAACCAAGGGCUAAAUACGGGCCAGCAGCCGCGGUAAUACGUAUGUUGCGAGCGUUAUCCGGAAUUAUUGGGCUUAAAGGGCAUCUAGGCGGUAAGACAAGUUGAAGGUGAAAACCUGUGGCUCAACCAUAGGCUUGCCUACAAAACUGUUGAACUAGAGUACUGGAAAGGUGGGUGGAACUACACGAGUAGAGGUGAAAUUCGUAGAUAUGUGUAGGAAUGCCGAUGAUGAAGAUAACUCACUGGACAGAAACUGACGCUGAAGUGCGAAAGCUAGGGGAGCAAACAGG